rnacentral:rRNA from 1 species
AGCAGCCGCGGUAAUUCCAGCUCCAAUAGCGUAUAUUAAAGUUGUUGCAGUUAAAAAGCUCGUAGUUGAAUUUCGGAAUCAAUAUGUUGGUCGUGCCUUGGUACGUACUGGCAUUAUUGGUUUCUACCUUCUGAAGAACCUCGAUGUCAUUAAUUUGGUGUCUUGGGGAAUCAGGACUGUUACUUUGAAAAAUUAGAGUGUUUAAAGCAAGCUCACGCUUGAAUACAUUAGUAUGGAAUAAUGAAAUAGGACGUUUGAUUCUAUUUUGUUGGUUUCUAGGAUCGACGUAAUGAUUAAUAGGGAUAGUUGGGGGCAUUAGUAUUCAAUUGUCAGAGGUGAAAUUCUUGGAUUUAUUGAAGACUAACUACUGCGAAAGCAUUUGCCAAGGAUGUUUUCAUUAAUCAAGAACGAAAGUUAGGGGAUCGAAGACGAUCAGAUACCGUCGUAGUC